GAUGAACGCUGGCGGCGUGCCUAAUACAUGCAAGUCGAGCGAAUGGAUUAAGAGCUUGCUCUUAUGAAGUUAGCGGCGGACGGGUGAGUAACACGUGGGUAACCUGCCCAUAAGACUGGGAUAACUCCGGGAAACCGGGGCUAAUACCGGAUAACAUUUUGAACCGCAUGGUUCGAAAUUGUAAGGCGGCUUCGGCUGUCACUUAUGAAUGGACCCGCGUCGCAUUAGCUAGUUGGUGAGGUAACGGCUCACCAAGGCAACGAUGCGUAGCCGACCUGAGAGGGUGAUCGGCCACACUGGGACUGAGACACGGCCCAGACUCCUACGGGAGGCAGCAGUAGGGAAUCUUCCGCAAUGGACGAAAGUCUGACGGAGCAACGCCGCGUGAGUGAUGAAGGCUUUCGGGUCGUAAAACUCUGUUGUUAGGGAAGAACAAGUGCUAGUCGAAUAAGCUGGCACCUUGACGGUACCUAACCAGAAAGCCACGGCUAACUACGUGCCAGCCGCCGCGGUAA
rnacentral:rRNA from 1 species